GCUUCCCAGGCCCAGGUUCACCACCGGCGCGAAAAUUAUUGAAACCCCCCUAGGGGCGAUAGGGAGGAGACGGGUAUUUCGAAGUACGUGUAAAGAACGUCCUAAUAACUGGAGGUCAAGUCUGGUGCCAGCAUCCGCGGUAAUUCCAGCUCCAGGGGUGUCUAUGAUGAUUGCUGCGAUUAAAAAGUCCGUAGUCAAACUGACUGACUGACCUGCAAUGUGAUUGAUUAAAGAACGAGCAGGGUUAGGAAAGCAGAGAAUUAGGAGCGACCGAGGGCUAGAGUAUUGAAUGGCGAGAGGUGAAAUUUGAUGACCCAUUCAGGAGUGACAAAGGCGAAGGCACUAGUCAAGGGCGAAUCCGAUGAUCAAGGACGUAGGCUAGAGUUUCGAAAACGAUUAGAGACCGGAGUAGUUCUAGCAGUAAACUAUGCCGACGCCGUGAUAUUGUUUUUUGUGGCAGUAUUGCGGAAGAGAAAUCAAGUAAGGCUUUGGGGAGAGUACGCGCGCAAGCGAUAAAUUUAAAGGAAAUGACGGAGGAACACCAGCAA
rnacentral:rRNA from 1 species